rnacentral:rRNA from 1 species
GGCGGCGUGCCUAACACAUGCAAGUCCAACGUGAAAGGGAGCAAUCCCCCGGUAGGGUGGCAAACGGGUGAGUAAUACAUGGGUGAUCUACCUUAGGGAUGGGGAUAUCCUUCCGAAAGGAGGGGCAAUACCGAAUAUUGUCCGGAGCCGUGAAGGUUCCGGGGAAAGGAGGCCUCUGAUACAAGCUUUCGCCUUAAGAUGAGCCCAUGGCCCAUCAGCUAGUUGGUAGGGUAAAGGCCUACCAAGGCUACGACGGGUCGCUGGUCUGAGAGGACGACCAGCCACACUGGCACUGAGAUACGGGCCAGACUCCUACGGGAGGCAGCAGUGAGGAAUAUUGCGCAAUGGGGGAAACCCUGACGCAGCAACGCCGCGUGUGGGAAGAAGGCCUUCGGGUCGUAAACCACUUUUGCACGGGACGAAAAAAGGGAUAUCGAACAAAUAUCCCCGAUGACGGUACCGUGAGAAUAAGCCACGGCUAACUCUGUGCCAGCAGCCGCGGUAAGACAGAGGUGGCAAGCGUUGUUCGGAAUUACUGGGCGUAAAGAGUC